rnacentral:rRNA from 1 species
UACAGAGGGUGCAAGCGUUAAUCGGAAUUACUGGGCGUAAAGAGUGUGUAGGCGGUGCUCCAAGUCUGGUGUGAAAUCCCGGGGCUCAACCCCGGAACUGCACUGGAUACUGCCAUGCUUGAGUACUGGAGAGGAGAUUGGAAUUUACGGUGUAGCAGUGAAAUGCGUAGAUAUCGUAAGGAAGACCAGUGGCGAAGGCGAAUCUCUGGACAGUUACUGACAC